GCCGGGUGCAGUGGCGCGCGCCUGUAAUCCAAGCUGCUGGGAGGCUGAGGCUGGCGGAUCGCUUGAGUUCAGGGGUUCUGGGCUGCAGUGGACUAUGUCGAUCGGGUGUCCGCGCUAAGUUCGGUAUCGAUAUGGUGCUCCUGGGGGAGCUCGGGACCACCAGGUCGUCUAAGGAGGGGUGAACCGGCCCAGGUCGGAGACGGAGCAGGUCAAAGCCCCCGUGCCGAUCAGUAGUGGGGUCGCGCCUGUGAAUAGACACUGCAGUGCAGCCUGAGCGAUACAGCGAGACUCAGUCUUUU
ensembl:misc_RNA Metazoa_SRP Metazoan signal recognition particle RNA